GACGAACGCUGGCGGCGUGCCUAAUACAUGCAAGUCGAGCGGAAGUUGGAGAGCUUGCUCUUCAACUUUAGCGGCGGACGGGUGAGUAACACGUGGGCAACCUGCCCUGCAGAUCGGGAUAACUCCGGGAAACCGGUGCUAAUACCGAAUAGUUUUCGCCACCUCCUGGUGGCGUACGGAAAGACGGUUUCGGCUGUCACUGCAGGAUGGGCCCGCGGCGCAUUAGCUAGUUGGUUGGGUAACGGCCCACCAAGGCGAAGAUGCGUAGCCGACCUGAGAGGGUGACCGGCCACACGGGGACUGAGACAAGGCCCAGAGUCCGACGGGAGGCAGCAGUAGGGAAUCUUCCGCAAUGGACGAAAGUCUGACGGAGCAACGCCGCGUGAGUGACGAAGGUUUUCGGAUCGUAAAACUCUGUUGUGAGGGAAGAACAAGUACCAACUAACUACUGGUACCUUGACGGUACCUCACCAGAAAGCCACGGCUAACUACGUGCCAGCCGCCGCCGUAAUAC
rnacentral:rRNA from 1 species